AGAGUUUGAUCCUGGCUCAGAGUGAACGCUGGCGGUAGGCCUAACACAUGCAAGUCGAACGGCAGCACAGAGGAGCUUGCUCCUUGGGUGGCGAGUGGCGGACGGGUGAGGAAUACAUCGGAAUCUACUUUUUCGUGGGGGAUAACGUAGGGAAACUUACGCUAAUACCGCAUACGACCUACGGGUGAAAGCAGGGGACCUUCGGGCCUUGCGCGAUUGAAUGAGCCGAUGUCGGAUUAGCUAGUUGGCGGGGUAAAGGCCCACCAAGGCGACGAUCCGUAGCUGGUCUGAGAGGAUGAUCAGCCACACUGGAACUGAGACACGGUCCAGACUCCUACGGGAGGCAGCAGUGGGGAAUAUUGGACAAUGGGCGCAAGCCUGAUCCAGCCAUACCGCGUGGGUGAGGAAGGCCUUCGGGUUGUAAAGCCCUUUUGUUGGGAAAGAAAUCCAGCCGGCUAAUACCUGGUUGGGAUGACGGUACCCAAAGAAUAAGCACCGGCUAACUUCGUGCCAGCAGCCGCGGUAAUACGAAGGGUGCAAGCGUUACUCGGAAUUACUGGGCGUAAAGCGUGCGUAGGUGAUUGUUUAAGUCUGUUGUGAAAGCCCUGGGCUCAACCUGGGAACUGCAGUGGAAACUGGACAACUAGAGUGUGGUAGAGGGUAGCGGAAUUCCCGGUGUAGCAGUGAAAUGCGUAGAGAUCGGGAGGAACAUCCAUGGCGAAGGCAGCUACCUGGACCAACACUGACACUGAGGCACGAAAGCGUGGGGAGCAAACAGGAUUAGAUACCCUAGUAGUCC
rnacentral:rRNA from 1 species